GAUGAACGCUGGCGGCGUGCCUAAUACAUGCAAGUCGAGCGAACAGACGAGGCGCUUGCCCCUUUGACGUUAGCGGCGGACGGGUGAGUAACACGUAGGUCACCUCCCUAUAAGACUGGGAUAACUUCGGGACAACGGAGCUAAUACCGGAUAAUAUUUCGAACCGCAUGGUUCGAUAGUGAAAGAUGGCUUUGCUAUCCCUUAUAUAUGGACCUGCGCCGUAUUAGCUAGUUGGUAAGGUAACGGCUUACCAAGGCAACGAUUCGUAGCCGACCUGAGAGGGUGAUCGGCCACACGGGAACGGAGACAGGGUCCAGACUCCUAAGGGAGGCAGCAGUAUGGAAUCGUCCGCAAUGGGCGAAAGCCUUACGGAACAACGCCGCGUGAGUGAUGGAGGUCUUCCGAGCGGAAAACCCUGUUAUGAGGGAAGAACAAACGUGUAAGGAACCGUGGACGUCGUGACGGUACCUAAACAGAAAGCCACGGCUAACUACGUG
rnacentral:rRNA from 1 species